UAGACACCAGCGUGUGAGCAGGACUUUUAAUUUGGCGUGGUGAUGUGACGUCAUGAGGAUGCGCGGCGCUCCUGCAUCUAAUGUGAUUCGACUCAAAAAAGUGCACUGAACACUGAACUGGAGCUGAAGAGACUGAGAUCCACGUGACACACUGAUGAAGAUGAUGUUUGUUAAAGAGGAGAGUGAAGACAUCAGGAUUGAAGAAGUGUUCAGUCUGAAACAAGAUCCUGAGGAACAAACAGACAUGGUGUUGAA
rnacentral:lncRNA from 1 species